UGCGGGUGCUAUACAUGCAAGUCGAGCGGACAGAAGGGAGCUUGCUCCCGGAUGUUAGCGGCGGACGGGUGAGUAACACGUGGGUAACCUGCCUGUAAGACUGGGAUAACUCCGGGAAACCGGAGCUAAUACCGGAUAGUUCCUUGAACCGCAUGGUUCAAGGAUGAAAGACGGUUUCGGCUGUCACUUACAGAUGGACCCGCGGCGCAUUAGCUAGUUGGUGAGGUAACGGCUCACCAAGGCGACGAUGCGUAGCCGACCUGAGAGGGUGAUCGGCCACACUGGGACUGAGACACGGCCCAGACUCCUACGGGAGGCAGCAGUAGGGAAUCUUCCGCAAUGGACGAAAGUCUGACGGAGCAACGCCGCGUGAGUGAUGAAGGUUUUCGGAUCGUAAAGCUCUGUUGUUAGGGAAGAACAAGUGCAAGAGUAACUGCUUGCACCUUGACGGUACCUAACCAGAAAGCCACGGCUAACUACGUGCCAGCAGCCGCGGUAAUACGUAGGUGGCAAGCGUUGUCCGGAAUUAUUGGGCGUAAAGGGCUCGCAGGCGGUUUCUUAAGUCUGAUGUGAAAGCCCCCGGCUCAACCGGGGAGGGUCAUUGGAAACUGGGAAACUUGAGUGCAGAAGAGGAGAGUGGAAUUCCACGUGUAGCGGUGAAAUGCGUAGAGAUGUGGAGGAACACCAGUGGCGAAGGCGACUCUCUGGUCUGUAACUGACGCUGAGGAGCGAAAGCGUGGGGAGCGAACAGGAUUAG
rnacentral:rRNA from 1 species